rnacentral:rRNA from 1 species
AAGGCAGCUCACUGGACUGCAACUGACACUGAUGCUCGAAAGUGUGGGUAUCAAACAGGAUUAGAUACCCUGGUAGUCCACACAGUAAACGAUGAAUACUCGCUGUUUGCGAUAUACAGUAAGCGGCCAAGCGAAAGCAUUAAGUAUUCCACCUGGGGAGUACGCCGGCAACGGUGAAACUCAAAGGAAUUGACGGGGGCCCGCACAAGCGGAGGAACAUGUGGUUUAAUUCGAUGAUACGCGAGGAACCUUACCCGGGCUUAAAUUGCAGUGGAAUGAUGUGGAAACAUGUCAGUGAGCAAUCACCGCUGUGAAGGUGCUGCAUGGUUGUCGUCAGCUCGUGCCGUGAGGUGUCGGCUUAAGUGCCAUAACGAGCGCAACCCUUAUCUUCAGUUACUAACAGGUCAUGCUGAGGACUCUGGAGAGACUGCCGUCGUAAGAUGUGAGGAAGGUGGGGAUGACGUCAAAUCAGCACGGCCCUUACGUCCGGGGCUACACACGUGUUACAAUGGGGGGUACAGAAGGCAGCUAGCGGGUGACCGUAUGCUAAUCCCAAAAUCCUCUCUCAGUUCGGAUCGAAGUCUGCAACCCGACUUCGUGAAGCUGGAUUCGCUAGUAAUCGCGCAUCAGCCACGGCGCGGUGAAUACGUUCCCGGGCCUUGUACACACCGCCCGUCAAGCCAUGGGAGCCGGGGGUACCUGAAGUACGUAACCGCAAGGAUCGUCCUAGGGUAAAACUGGUGACUGGGGCUAAGUCGUAACAAGGUAACCA